CCUACGGGGGGCUGCAGUGGGGAAUAUUGCACAAUGGGGGAAACCCUGAUGCAGCGACGCCGCGUGAGUGAAGAAGUAUUUCGGUAUGUAAAGCUCUAUCAGCAGGGAAGAAAUAAAGUCCUUCGGACUUUGGACGGUACCUGACUAAGCAGACCCGGCGAACUACGUGCCAGCAGCCGAGGUAAUACGUAGGGGGCAAGCGUUAGCCGGAUUUACGUGGGGUAGAGGGAGCGUAGACGGCAGCGCAAGUCUGGAGUGAAAUCCCAUGGCUUAACCAUGGAACUGCUUAGGAAACUGUGCAGCUGGAGUGCAGGAGAGGGAAGCGGAAUUCCGAGUGUAGCAGUGAAAUGCGUAGAUAUUAGGAGGAACACCAGUGGCGAAGGCGGCUUACUGGACUGUAACUGACGUUGAGGCUCGAAAGCGUGGGGAGCAAACAGGAUUAGAUACCCUAGUAGUC
rnacentral:rRNA from 1 species